rnacentral:rRNA from 1 species
GAGUUUGAUCCUGGCUCAGAACGAGCGCUGGCGGCGUGCUUAACACAUGCAAGUCGAACGCGAAAGUUUUCUUCGGAGAGCGAGUAGAGUGGCACACGGGGGANNNNNNNNNNNNNNNNNNNNNNNNNNNNNNNNNNNNNNAGACAGGGAUAACACCGAGAAAUCGGUGCUAAUACCGCAUAACAUACAGACAUCACCUGAUGACUGUAUCAAAGGAGAAAUCCGCUUUGAGAUGGGCCCGCGGCUGAUUAGCUAGUUGGUGAGGUAAUGGCUCACCAAGGCGACGAUCAGUAGCCGACCUGAGAGGGUGACCGGCCACACUGGAACUGAGACACGGUCCAGACUCCUACGGGAGGCAGCAGUGAGGAAUAUUGCGCAAUGGGGGCAACCCUGACGCAGCGACGCCGCGUGGAUGAUGAAGGCCCUUGGGUCGUAAAAUCCUGUCAGAUGGAAAGAAAUGCCACAGUACCCCAAAAACAAGCCCCGGCUAACUACGUGCCAGCAGCCGCGGUAAUACGUAGGUGGCGAGCGUUGUCCGGAAUUACUGGGCGUAAAGGGCGCGUAGGCGGCUCUUUAAGUCAGAUGUGAAAACCCAGGGCUUAACCUUGGGAGUGCAUUUGAAACUGAAGGGCUCGAGUGCAGGAGAGGUAAGUGGAAUUCCUAGUGUAGCGGUGAAAUGCGUAGAUAUUAGGAGGAACACCAGUGGCGAAGGCGACUUACUGGACUGUAACUGACGCUGAGUCACGAAAGCGUGGGUAGCAAACAGGAUUAGAUACCCUGGUAGUCCACGCUGUAAACGAUGAGUGCUAGGUGUUGGGUAGCGAUAUUCAGUGCCGAAGUUAACACAAUAAGCACUCCGCCUGGGGAGUACGGUCGCAAGACUGAAACUCAAAGGAAUUGACGGGGACCCGCACAAGCAGCGGAGCAUGUGGUUUAAUUCGAAGCAACGCGAAGAACCUUACCAAGGUUUGACAUCCCCUUGACAGAUGCAGAGAUGUGUCCUCCCCUUCGGGGGCAAGGGAGACAGGUGGUGCAUGGUUGUCGUCAGCUCGUGUCGUGAGAUGUUGGGUUAAGUCCCGCAACGAGCGCAACCCUUAUCAUUAGUUGCCAGCAGGUUAAGCUGGGCACUCUAAUGAGACUGCCGGUGAUAAACCGGAGGAAGGUGGGGAUGACGUCAAAUCAUCAUGCCCCUUAUAUCUUGGGCUACACACGUGCUACAAUGGUCGGUACAACGGGCAGCGAAACCGCGAGGUGAAGCAAAUCCCUGAAACAGGUCCCAGUUCGGAUUGUAGGCUGCAACUCGCCUACAUGAAGUCGGAAUUGCUAGUAAUGGCAGGUCAGCAUACUGCCGUGAAUACGUUCCCGGGCCUUGUACACACCGCCCGUCACACCAUGAGAGUCUGCAACACCCGAAGUCAGUAGCCUAACCGCAAGGAGGGCGCUGCCUAAGGUGGGGCCGAUGAUUGGGGUGAAGUCGUAACAAGGUAACC